rnacentral:rRNA from 2 species
GUUUUUUAAUCGACAACCCACGUUAAUUUUCACUUUAAUUAAAAAUUUAUAUACCGCCAUCUAAAAAACUAAUUCAAUGAUAAUAUUUUUAAUAAAAACUAAAAAGUUAGGUCAAGGUGUAAUCUAUAUUAAAGAAAAUAAUGGGUUACAUUAAAAUUAAUUUAAGGAUUAUUUUAUAAAAACAUUCUUCGAAAAAGGAUUUAAAAGUAAUACUAAAACAAUAUUUUAUUAUGAUUUAGAUAAAAAAUGUGCACACAUCGCCCGUC